rnacentral:rRNA from 1 species
UGGGGAAUAUUGCACAAUGGGCGCAAGCCUGAUGCAGCAACGCCGCGUGAACGAUGAAGGUCUUCGGAUCGUAAAGUUCUGUUGCAGGGGAAGAUAAUGACGGUACCCUGUGAGGAAGCCCCGGCUAACUACUUGCCAGCAGCCGCGGUAAUACGUAGGGGGCUAGCGUUAUCCGGAUUUACUGGGCGUAAAGGGUGCGUAGGUGGUCUUUCAAGUCGGUGGUUAAAGGCUACGGCUCAACCGUAGUUAGCCUCCGAAACUGGAAGACUUGAGUGCAGGUGAGGAAAGUGGAGUUCCCAGUGUAGCGGUGAAAUGCGUAGAUAUUGGGAGGAACACCAGUAGCGAAGGCGGCUUUCUGGACUGCAACUGACACUGAGGGAGGAAAGCGUGGGUAGCAAACAGG